GAUUACCAUCAUCGUCAAGGGUGGUGAACCUCCAGCCCUCCUUUCUCCUCUGGUAGUGGACUACCUUCUGACAGGACGCAUCUUUCAGUUGAAGGUCACUCCAGAUGAUGUAGCUGACAUGGUACUGAGAGAAGCCCGGAAGAAGGUUGAUCAAGCAUUAACCACAGAUGAUCUGGAGCAAGCAGUGGAAUGCUGUGACUCAUGGAGAUACCUAACUCGAAGGUCUUCCGAACCCAGUCAGCAUGGUCAACAAAGAUGCAUUUGUGCAGAAUGCAAUACUUUUCCAUGUCCUCAUUCAACGACAGAGCUGCUAUGAUCAGUUAGUUGAUGGUUUGAAGUACUACGAGGUUCUGCCACUCCUGAAAGAAAGGCCUUGCCUCUGGGUCCUUCUUGAUAUCCCAAAAGAACCCAGUGAUGUCAAAGUAGAUGUUGUGGCUACCCUCCUGAAACCCAACUACU